GGAGGGUGCUAGCGUUGUUCGGAAUCACUGGGCGUAAAGGGCGCGUAGGCGGCCCGAGAAGUCGGUUGGUGAAAGCCCGGGGCUCAACCCCGGAGGUGCGGCCGAGACUCUCGGGCUGGAGGCCGGAAGAGGAGGGUGGAAUACCCAGUGUAGAGGUGAAAUUCGUAGAUAUUGGGUGGAACACCGGUGGCGAAAGCGGCUCUCUGGUCCGGACCUGACGCUGAGGCGCGAAAGCGUGGGGAGCAAACAGGAUUAGAUACCCUGGUAGUCCACGCCCUAAACGAUGCGGGCUAGACGUCGGGGGGCUUGCCCCUCGGUGUCGCAGCUAACGCGUUAAGCCCGCCGCCUGGGGAGUACGGCCGCAAGGUUAAA
rnacentral:rRNA from 1 species